AUGCACGCUGGCGGCGUGCCUCAUCCAUGCAAGUCGCGCGAACAGAUAAGGAGCUUGCUCCUUUGACGUUAGCGGCGGACGGGUGAGUAACACGUGGGUAACCUACCUAUAAGACUGGGAUAACUUCGGGAAACCGGAGCUAAUACCGGAUAACAUUUGGAACCGCAUGGUUCUAAAGUGAAAGAUGGUUUUGCUAUCACUUAUAGAUGGACCCGCGCCGUAUUAGCUAGUUGGUAAGGUAACGGCUUACCAAGGCAACGAUACGUAGCCGACCUGAGAGGGUGAUCGGCCACACUGGAACUGAGACACGGUCCAGACUCCUACGGGAGGCAGCAGUAGGGAAUCUUCCGCAAUGGGCGAAAGCCUGACGGAGCAACGCCGCGUGAGUGAUGAAGGGUUUCGGCUCGUAAAACUCUGUUAUUAGGGAAGAACAAAUGUGUAAGUAACUGUGCACGUCUUGACGGUACCUAAUCAGAAAGCCACGGCUAACUACGUG
rnacentral:rRNA from 1 species